AUUGAACGCUGGCGGCAUGCUUUACACAUGCAAGUCGAACGGUAACAGGGUGCUUGCACCGCUGACGAGUGGCGAACGGGUGAGUAAUGCGUCGGAACGCACCGAGUAAUGGGGGAUAACGCAGCGAAAGCUGUGCUAAUACCGCAUACGCUCUGAGGAGGAAAGCGGGGGACCUUCGGGCCUCGCGUUAUUCGAGCGGCCGACGUCUGAUUAGCUAGUAGGUGAGGUAAGAGCUCACCUAGGCGACGAUCAGUAGCGGGUCUGAGAGGAUGAUCCGCCACACUGGGACUGAGACACGGCCCAGACUCCUACGGGAGGCAGCAGUGGGGAAUUUUGGACAAUGGGCGCAAGCCUGAUCCAGCCAUGCCGCGCGUCUGAAGAAGGCCUUCGGGUUGUAAAGGACUUUUGUCAGGGAGGAAAUCCUUAGCGCUAAUACCGUUGAGGGAUGACAGUACCUGAAGAAUAAGCACCGGCUAACUACGUGCCAGCCGCCGCGGUAAUAC
rnacentral:rRNA from 1 species